CAGGUCAGGGUGGUCAGUAUCUUCACCUCCACUUACUGUUCCGCUGGUAGGUCUUCGGGGCGGUGACACGCGUGGAGAUGUCAUCUCUGAGGAUAAGAAGGUCUUCUUCUGGAACACCUCCUGGAGGACCUGCCUGAGGCUGCUUCAUAGUUUCUGGAGUAUCAGCUAGCUGCUAAGGAAGAAUCAAACUCCUUUCCUGUGAAAGAGCGGAAUGUUCAUGGAAAGAAAAACGUCAAGGGUUCCCUGUCUGGACCUCUCUCCAAUUCCACCAGCUUCUGUGUUGAGAAAGGCCAGCCUCAGACCUGCUCCUCCUCACUCUCCUCUGUCACAGUUGUUUACUGGACUGUUUGGUUUGACUUCCUGUGGACAGUGUCCACAGCACCAGCAGUUUCCACGAUGCAGGUCACAUUACUGCGUCACCUGUCAGUAAGUCAUCAAGCCCACCAAAUUCUGAGCGCUCGCUUCCAAAAGUGUGGCUGUUCUGAUUUCUACAAGGCUCCUCUUGUAGAUUUAUUGUGGGGUAAAUACAGGACUUUCUGGCCUUCAGGUUUAAGAAUCCCCUCCAUAUUUUAACAGGAUUUGACUCAGAAGCCUCAAGAAAAGAGAUAGGAAUUUGCCUUUUCAGUCCACCCCAGAAGAUUUUUUUUUGUCUUAAUUUAUCCCUAGAAAUCAGCCAGGAACUCCUAGGCCAGCAUUCUUCAGAAAGCCUUCCCCGUUGGCUUCUAGGGAAUGCAGUAGGAUUGCUAGAGAACCAGGGCUGGGGGCCCAGGACUGGACUUCCUCCUGUAGGAAAACUGAGCUUGGGUCUGCCCUGUCAGAGCCUGGAAGCCCUCUAGUACAGCUCAGACUCAGGUGCAACUCCACGGGCUCAGCCUCCUUCCUGGCACAAGUCCCACGCGUGGCGGAGCAAGGUUGCGGCAGAAGCACGGCUUUCAUCCUUACCUGGUCUGGCUGCAGGACGUCAAUCCUCUAGAGAGACAGCAGCAUCCCAGCAGCCUAGCCCAGGGCCUCAGACCACUCUGCCUACAGCCCCCCAGAGCCACUAUUACUGACCCCAGAACUAUACUGCCUCCUAGAGUCCUUGGAAUCAAGUGGGCUUCCUGCAGGCCUCUGCAGUUCGAGUAGACCCCCCAAGGUCUGAUCCGGUCCUUGGAGUGAGAGACAGAGCCUAGGAAGUUUUCCUUAUCAGUUCCCCCGUGUCCAGUUCUCUAGCACUGUCCAGUCAUACACCUGGAUCUGUUCUGAUUUCUGGGAAGCCAAUUGUUCCUCCUUGGAAUGGCCCUAGGAUAAAACCUGGUUGCAGCCUAGUGCUUUGGUGUGGGAAGCAAGUUAGCUCUCUGCCGCACCCCAGGACCCAGCAAGGCACAGAUAAUGUGCCAAACCCAGCUUUCCCGAGAGGAUCCCAGAGCCAUCUGACUGACAGAGUUGUGGCUGAGGAAAAUGGGGUGACUGGUAGUAUGUGUCAGUCGGGUGGACUAAGAAGUCACAGGGUAAGGCAGUCACAGACAGCCAGGACGUUUCAGAAGCAAGGCAGCCUAGCAGCAGACCAGCAAGCCUGACGUCAGGAGCUGAGCCCCAACUCUGAAUCAGCUCUGGCGGCCAGACAGCAGUAUCUGGGGACACAGAAAGGGCAGGCAAGAUCAAGGGCAAGGCAGAGCUACCCUGGAAGCCCAAGGGCACAGGCAGGGGUCCCUCAGCAGCAGGAAUGAAAGAGUAGUCAGAGUGGAGCCUGGGGCUCAGCAGAAGAGUCUUAAUUCCCUUAAGGCUGAAAACAGAAUUGUCCUGGAAACCUCCUGGGUCUACAAGAAUGUGACAAAGAACCCCCGUCCAUGAAGAGAAAAGGGCUUCAUGGGACUCCAGCUGACAUAGGGGAGAAUCAGCUCCUGAAGGGAGAGAAUGGCCCUCUUUCUUCUGCCCAUCUAAUGCCCUUGACCUGAACUAGCCAUGAAGGGCUUGAGUUCUCCAGGAAGCCUGGAGAGAGAGCGAUCUUUUCAUCCUCAGAAAGGACAGCACCUCAGAAACCCGUCUUGCCACCUGGUCUUUUAUGGGGUAAAAGUACAGGAGACCCUCAGAAUUGCGGGGCAAAUAGCACCUCAAAUGUGAAAUCAUAUGAACUGGUAUGAUUAAGGAAAAAGGCUCCCUCGUUUUUAAGAUCACAGAACUUCUACACCCAAGUUAACUCUGUCCCCCAAAACCUUAUCACCAGGCUGUAAGAUGCGUAUGGCUUUCCAGAGUAGUGCUUUUGGGCAAAAGCAUUUUUGGGCAUCCUAGUAUUUUAAUAGGUAAUAUAUUAAUGUCGUAUACCAGUUGAAGGAGUAUUGAUUUUUAUUGUGUUGAGCAAACAUCAGUAACGCUUUUGGGCCAAAGCAUUACUCUGGAAAACCACACACCUCACACGCUGGUGAUGCCAUCGCUGGGGAUGUUUUGAGACGCGUCCCAUGGAGGCCUUCAGAGACCAUUUACAGGCGCCAGAGAAGCAGCAGCACGGCAGCCUCAUAAAACCACACCUUGCUUUUGGCCGAGAAUGGUGUUAUUAUCACCAUAUUAGUCAGGACCAGGAUGAGAAAACCAAAUCAAACCAGCCUUCCUAUGUCUUUUUCACCCCAUUUUUAAAGGUUUUAUAGCUCUACAGUUUACAUUUGAGUUUGUGAUCCAUUUUGAGUUAAUUGUUAUAAAAGGCAUAAGACUUAAAGUUGUGAUUAAUUGGAUGAUUAUUUUGCCUACGAAUGUCCAGUUGCUCCAGUAUUAUUUUUUGAAAAUAAUAUCUAUCUACACUCCAUUAAACCAUCUUUACGCCUUGUCAGAAAUCGGUGCGGCUUAUUU